AAAACUGGAUGUGCAUUGACUGUGAAUUUUGAGAGAAGGCUAUUAAGGAGCUCAUUUGAGGUGGCAUUGAAGACCUUUUUCAGUUUUUUAUUUGUUUUCUAGAGAGACAAACGAUGAGGAAAUGUGAGGUGGAAUAUGAAUACUCAGCCAUGGAGGAUGGUGAACUAGAUAUGGUUGAAGGGGAAAUAAUUGAGAUUCUUCAAAAGGAUGGAUGGAGUCUCGGGAAACAUAAUGGGAAAGUGGGACUUUUUCCAUCAAACUGCAUCCAAGAAAUGUCCACUUUCCAAGGUAACAUUAAACAAAUUUCCCAAAUGGCCGGUCACAAAAAUAAAAAAACAUUUUGGACCAACAUGCUCAUUGUAAUGGCCCUCUGAGAUCAUUGGGAAUUAAGACUGACCCUACCUAAUGGUUUGCUUAGCUAGAAAUGGCCUCAAAUAUAUUAACUUGACAAAAAGGCUGGCUAUGAGCACAUUCUAGCAAAAGUGUACUGAAAGGUGUGUAUAAACCUGAGCUGUUUCACAUAAAAUCAGGAAUCAGCACCAAUGACUGUAAACUAAAUUUGAGUAUUUUUAGUUAAUCAUCACACAUUAUCAUGUGCCACCAUAGAAGAAUAGUUAGCUCAAUGAAACCAAUUGUAGUCAUGAAGG
rnacentral:lncRNA from 1 species